GACGAACGCUGGCGGCGUGCUUAACACAUGCAAGUCGAACGGAAAGGCCCUGCUUUUGUGGGGUGCUCGAGUGGCGAACGGGUGAGUAACACGUGAGUAACCUGCCCUUGACUUUGGGAUAACUUCAGGAAACUGGGGCUAAUACCGGAUAGGAGCUCCUGCUGCAUGGUGGGGGUUGGAAAGUUUCGGCGGUUGGGGAUGGACUCGCGGCUUAUCAGCUUGUUGGUGGGGUAGUGGCUUACCAAGGCUUUGACGGGUAGCCGGCCUGAAAGGGUGACCGGCCACAUUGGGACUGAGAUACGGCCCAGACUCCUACGGGAGGCAGCAGUGGGGAAUAUUGCACAAUGGGCGGAAGCCUGAUGCAGCAACGCCGCGUGCGGGAUGACGGCCUUCGGGUUGUAACCCGCUUUCGCCUGUGACGAAGCGUGAGUGACGGUAAUGGGUAAAGAAGCACCGGCUAACUACGUG
rnacentral:rRNA from 1 species